GAGCUGCUGGGGCUGAUUGCAAAUCAAUGCUCUGCAAAGAGACAGCCGCCCAGGUGCAGAAGGUGGAGAGAGUGGUCCCAGCCAAGCUGCAGAGAGCUGGGGUGGGGGGUAGGGGGUGGGGGUGAUGCUGCAGAGAGAGCACCCAGGGCAGCCAGGGCCAGGGGCUGGAGACUCUGCACCAAGCAUCCAUAGGAUGCACCCAAGCCUGGCUCUGGGGAGGGAGAAACAAAUGGAGAAUGAGCAGCUUCACUGAGCACCUACUAUGUGCCAGCCACCGGGCAAAGAAGUCUAUAUUCUUCAUGAUUUAAUCUUCAUACAACCCCGUGGCUGAGACAAGGCUAUGGUUUCCACCAAAUCUGGGUUCAUCUUCCUGGGCACCCAGGGAAAUGACAUUUCCCAGACACCCCUGCAAUGGGUGUGGGGGGGCAUCGAAUGGAGCAUGGCCUAAGAAGGGCAAGCUGAGCUGACCCCAGUGGCUGCUGGGUUGAGUCAGGGAAGAACCAGUGUGCUGCACCCCCUCCUUGCUACCCCUGCAGUGGUGACCUCAGAGGCCACGUGUCCCAGCCUGCCCCUCCCCCAGCCCCUCUAGGAUUGGGACAGUGAACUGGUAUUUGGUUGAGCCACAAAGGCUUCAGGGUUGGCUGGUUCCAGAAGUCCGUGUCCGUUCCCUGGGCCAAUGUAAAGUCCACUGGUCUAGGGAUUGUUCUCACUUUGCAGACAUGGAGACUGAAGUUUAAACAGACUCACCUCCCCAGCCAGCAGGCUCAGCCUCACCCCGACAUGUAUCCUCCCGUCUGCCCUUUUAAGCUCACCUUGGUCGAGUGGCAGAGAAUAAUAUCAGAGCAAAUUGUGCAAUUCUAUGGAAACAAGAAGGAAGGAGCCAAGGCUUUGGGGGAGCAGGGCUUUCCAGAGCUGAGUCUUGAGGGAUUUGACAGGUGCUGUAAUGUAAAGACAAGACGGUGGCCCAGCCCUACUCUGCGCCCCCAGAUGCAAGGUGGUGGGGCCGCUUGCCGAAUGGUUUCGCUUCACAUUCCUCUAGUCGGCGACAGGUGAACGCUGCUUAUUUUAUUCUCCGUCUUCGGAGGUGUUUUGUUUUCACUCUCACUGCUGCCCGAGAGCCUGGCAGGGUGGGGGGCAGACAAAGCACAAACCUCUUGGGGCAGAGCCUCAAAGUCCACGGUUUCUAGGCAGCAGGCUGGCUUUGUCGGUGAUCGGAGCUUCCCAGAGUGGAGAGGGACCUCGGAGGCUGGAGGUCCCACCCUCUCGUGCUACCCGGAGGUGACACCGAGG
rnacentral:lncRNA from 12 species